rnacentral:rRNA from 1 species
GACGAACGCUGGCGGUGUGCUUAACACAUGCAAGUCGUGCGACGAACCAGACUUCGGUCUGGGGCAAAGCGGCGAACGGUGAGUAACACGUGGGUAAUCUGCCCCGAUGACUGGGACAACCCGAGGAAACUCGGGCUAAUACCGGAUGUGGUGCCUGGACUCAAGUCCGGUCACUAAAGGUAGCUUCGGCUUCCGCAUUGGGAGGGGCCCGCGGCCCAUUAGCUUGUUGGUGGGGUCAAGGCCUACCAAGGCAACGAUGGGUAGCUGGUCUGAGAGGACGAUCAGCCACACUGGGACUGAGACACGGCCCAGACUCCUACGGGAGGCAGCAGUGGGGAAUCUUGCGCAAUGCGCGAAAGCGUGACGCAGCAACACCGCGUGAGGGAAGACGGCCUUAGGGUUGUAAACCUCUUUCAGAUGGGACGAAGGUGAUGCGGUGAAUAGCCGAUGUCAUUGACGGUACCGUCAGAAGAAGCUCCGGCUAACUACGUGCCAGCAGCCGCGGUAAUC